rnacentral:tRNA from 1 species
GCCUUCGUGGUGUAGUGGUCAGCACGCAUUCGAGAGGUCCGUGGUUCGAUUCCCGGCGAGGGCA